rnacentral:rRNA from 1 species
GACGAACGCUGGCGGCGUGCUUAACACAUGCAAGUCGAACGGAAAGGCCCUGCUAUUGUGGGGUGCUCGAGUGGCGAACGGGUGCGUAACACGUGAGUAACCUGCCCUUGACUUUGGGAUAACUUCAGGAAACUGGGGCUAAUACCGGAUAGGAUCUCCUGCUGCAUGGUGGGGGUUGGAACGUUGCAGCGGUUGGGGAUGGACUCGCGGGUUAUCAGCUUGUUGGUGGGGUAGUGGCUUACCAAGGCUUUGACGGGUAGGCGGCCUGAGAGGGUGACCGGCCACAUUGGGACUGAGAGACGGACCAGACUCCUACGGGAGGCAGCAGUGGGGAAUAUUGCACAAUGGGCGGAAGCCGGAUGCAGCAACGCCGCGUGCGGGAUGACGGCCUUCGGGUUGUAAACCGCUUUCGCCUGUGACGAAGCGUGAGUGACGGUAAUGGGUAAAGAAGCACCGGCUAACUACGUG